rnacentral:lncRNA from 1 species
AACCAAAUCAUCCCAUAAUCAAUGCUGUUUCAACACUUUCAAUUAACUAAAUCAAAUUUCUAUCUUGCAUCUCGCUAAGGAGAGAAUAACUAACCUUCAUUACGACCUAUCCAAAAGAAUGCUUGCCAGUGGAAACGUUGCGGUCCGACGGCGUUGCCAGAGUAGCUAUCGACGUCGACAACAGAGUUGCUGUAAGGGAGCUGCGAACCAGAGACAAUAACGAGCUUCUCGGGUGGGAGCUGUAGAGGAGCUUUCCUCCUCGAGCUGCGGGGUUUUAUUUUCUUUUAAUUUUAAAUUUUCUUUUUCGAGAAAUCCAAUUGAAUUGAUUCGGUUUCAAUUGAAUUGAAUUAAUGAAACCCAGACCGAAACCCACACCAAACCCAGACCGAAAUCCCCCCCCCCCCAAAUUUGAAUUUUCUUUUUCUUUUUAUUUUUUAUUUUUUUCCCGUCAUUCCCGUCAUUUCACGCCCACUUAAUGAAAAAGGGCAUUCCCGUCAUUUCACGCCCACUUAAUGAAAAAGGGGCAUAGACGAUUAUGGAGCCCAUAGGAGAUUCUGCUUUGUGGUGUUGGGGGCACUAGAGGGGAAAUCGUGUAAUUGUCUCUUCUUCUAUUUCUAAGCUCGAGUCAUAAUAAUCUUCUCUCCUGCUUUUGAAAAACUUUUAUUAUAUCUCAUUUGCUUGUGUCAAAUUGCUUGUUCUCAUAUUUACACUUAACCCAUUUGAUGGGAAUCAAUUUCCACUUUCCCUUUCCAAAGACAGUUUCAAGUUUUAUUAACCAUAUUUGUUGCUACUAAGGUAGUUUUGUUUAGCCAAACUCGCUUUCUUAUUAUAAACUAACUAAAUUAGCAUAGAUUUAAGUGUCUAUUACUUUAACUAAAUUUAAUAUAUGUUUUUACUUUAUUUAACAUAAUAAGGUCUUACUAACAAAUAAAACAAAAUGAAUCCACCUCUCUUUUUUCUUCGUCUUCUUCAUCUUAAGUUCUCAACCAUUUUUUGUAAAAUGAAAUCUGUUUUCUCAGAACUUUUUUUUUAAAAAAAAUUAAUCAAUUAUUAUUUCUAUUUUAUAUCAUUUUUGAGAUAUGCCCAACUGUAUUUUUAACGCUGGUGUAAAGGUCAUGUAAACAACGAUGUCAACGGUAGAGAUCGAUUGAAGCUUCAACCAUGGUGUUUAUGUCUCCUCCUCUCUGUGUUCUCAGCUCCUCCGUCCAAGAUGUUGUCGAUGUGAGGUCUCGUCCACCGGUGGUCAUUGCUAUCCGCCGCGUCUCGUCAACAUCAGCUUCUCCACGUCUUGCCCACGACCUCUCCAUCUUCAAAUCAUGUUCGCAGCCUUCACAGUCCUGUCUCUGCUCCGUCGUAGCUGACUCUCAGUUGCCGUCAACGAGAUCCGGCGAGAAGUGCAAUCUGCAACAUUAAUGGGAAGUAUCACCUUUUUGCACUUUUGGUCCUCUA